GCUCCCCAGGAGCGCCCUGGCAGGGAGCUCUGUGUGUCAGUCUGUCUGUCUGUCUGUCUGUCUGUCUGUUCAGCGCUGCCCCGGCAGGGAGCUCUGUCUGUCUGUCUGUGUCUGUCUGUGUCUGUCUGUCUGUUCAGUGAUGCCCUGGCAGCAAGCUGUGUCUGUGUGUCUGUCAGUCUGUGUGUCUGUCAGUCUGUGUGUCUGUCAGUCUGUGUGUCUGUCAGUCUGUGUGUCAGUCUGUCUGUGUCUGUCUGUCUGUUCAGCGCUGCCCCUGCUGUCAUUGCAGGCACGGAGCUUUCUCCUGGAGCCUCUGUCUGUCUGUCUGUCUGUCUGUUCAGUGAUGCCCUGGCAGGGAGCUGUGUCUGUCUGUGUGUCUGUCAGUCUGUCUGUGUCUGUCUGUCUGCUCAGCGUGCCCCUGCUGUCGUUGCAGGCGCGGAGCUUUCUCCGGGAGCCUGUCUGUGUGUGUGUGUGUGUGUGUCUGUCUGUCUGUCUGUCUGUCCGCUCAGCGCUGCCCCGCUGUCGUUGCAGGCGCGGAGCUUUCUCCGGGAGCGUGUGUCAGUCUGGCUGUCAGUCUGUGUGUCAGUCUGUCUGUGUGUCUGUCUGUCAGUCUGUGUGUCUGUGUGUCUGUCUGUCUGUGUGUCUGUCUGUCCGCUCAGCGCUGCCCUGCUCUCGUUGCAGGCGCGGAGCUUUCUCCGGGAGCCUCUGUCUGUCAGUCUGUCUGUCUGUGUGUCUGUCUGUCAGUCUGUGUCUGUCAGUCUGUGUGUCUGUGUGUCAGUCUGUCUGUCUGUCUGUCCAUUCAGCAUGCCCCCGCUCUCGUUGCAGGCGCGGAGCUUUCUCCGGGAGCCUGUGUCUGUCUGUGUGUCUGUCUGUGUGUCAGUCUGUCUGUCUGUC
rnacentral:lncRNA from 1 species